UACGUAGGGUGCGAGCGUUGUCCGGAAUUACUGGGCGUAAAGAGCUCGUAGGUGGUUUGUCGCGUUGUUCGUGAAAACCGGGGGCUUAACCCUCGGCGUGCGGGCGAUACGGGCAGACUUGAGUACUGCAGGGGAGACUGGAAUUCCUGGUGUAGCGGUGGAAUGCGCAGAUAUCAGGAGGAACACCGGUGGCGAAGGCGGGUCUCUGGGCAGUAACUGACGCUGAGGAGCGAAAGCGUGGGGGAGCGAACAGGAUUAGAACCUUCGU
rnacentral:rRNA from 1 species